GACGGUGGACUAGGGGAAGAACGAGGAAGAAGAGGAGGUGAUUGAAGGAGACAAUCGGUUCAUCUAAAAGUGGAAAUCAAACCAGGAUUUGAUAUUUGUUCAAGUCCAUUAAGAAGGGAGCCAAGGAAGAAGCAAGGGGAAGUUAGUACGGAAGAAAAAGCAAAAGCAAGGGCAAGUACUCCUAAGGGCAAGGGAGUAGUGAUCGGUGGAGUUUAAAGGCGCAGGAAGCUGGCGAUCUUUUGUGUAUAUAUAUUUUGCUAAAAUGCAUCUUAUUUUGAAGUGAAGAUAUAUUGUAUAUCUAUUUUGGUUUGUAGAUAUUUCUCCAUAAGGAGGUGGCUAAGGGCUGAUAAACCAUGGUAACUGCUAUUGAAAGAAAUGAUCAAUAUUUUGAUAUAUAGUUAUUAUUUUGUCUAAAA